ACCCACCCCAAAAAGGUUCUGAGCAAACGCCUCAUGACUGAAAGAGCGGCGGUGCCGCUGCCAGCUCACCUUCAAGGAUUUAGGUUCACACACACACACACACACACACACACACACGCGCGCGCGGGGCAUUUGUGCAAGCAGUUACAAAAGGAAACAUCCCCAGCUCAUGACUGUUGGGCAAUUAUUAUUAUUAUUAUUAUUAUUAUUAUUAUUAUUAUUAUUAUUAUUAUUAUUAUUAUAGGAAAAUUCACAUGUAAGCAGUGUGGACUAUUUUGUGUAUCUGACGGGUUUUUUUUCUAUAUCAAAAAUGUUUAUAUAAAGAUAAAGAAGAGUUUUCAAGCUGCGGGAAGAAAGUCACUUAAGAAUAAUGGGUGCUCCUGAUCCUAGUAGACAGGGAUACAGUGGAUUAAAACAACUUCCCUUUCACCUCCAGAGAUUGGUCAGGGAUGACUUCUUUAUCUAGAAAUUUCUAAAGAGAUCAGCUGUCCUUGAAGAUUAGAAAGUAGAAUACAAAAACACACUGAUGUUUCUUACCCAAAACUCUAAUUAAUUCACCUGGUCUUGCACAGUAAUCAACUCUCAUUUCUCCUUCAGUACCCGAGGAGAGUCGAAAGUGUGUUAUUUAAGUCACACAAUAAUUAUUGGGUUCCUUUCAUAUUUGGAAAGUCCUGCUAUGUUUUGGGAACUUCGUUUUUGCUUUCUCAGUGAGAAUGUGUUUGUAAAGAAUGAAAUAGAAACUAAGCCUCCUGGUUGACUUGUAAACACAGAAGGCAGAAGGGAAUAGUGGUUUGGGGCUGCAUGAGGGGAGUAAGACACUCAUUUUCUCCUCCUGUCUUCUCUAACUUGUUGCACAGCGAUGUUUUUUCCGGGAUGUUUGACCAGCAUAGAAUUUGAGCAUAGGUCCUGUGUGUUUGUUGCUUAUAUCUCUAGGAAUCUGGAGUAGUUAGGCAUUGAACCUGUCUACACAUGUCUAAAGAUUUCAUAAGAUGUGAGGAGGCAGCAUAUGACAGAUUUAAGAAAUAAACUAUUAUAACAGGCUUGUUGAUUUGAGAAAUGUUAGGAUGUUAUUUUUGCCAUUUAGGUAUUGAAAUUAUCACUUUUGUCUUUAUCUUUUUAAAUCCACUGAACUCUGAAGUUUAUUGUCUAAGUAUAUAGGAAUCCGUUAAAGUGAAAUAUGACACUAUUGUCUUAUUACUCUUUUAUGCUAAACUUUGAGGCACAAUACUUGCAUUGGAAGGCUUUCUUACAGUGUAAGAAUUUUUUAAAAAUUGAAUAAAAGUAUAUAAACUUCUACAAAGAUAGAUGAAGCUUUCACAGCUGUUUGCCCCAGUGUGUUAUAAUGAGGUGAGGUUUAAUAAUUUUUGAAUCAUCAAACCUAUUCUUAACUAAAAGCAUAGAUUCAGUAUAUACCACAAAUAUCAAAAUAUAUUUUAGAAAUAUUGCCAAUUUUUAAAAUGUCAAAUUGCUGCAUUUGUGAAAUACAACACUGUGGAAAGUGCUAAACUCUAAAAGAAAAAAAAACUAAUUUAUUUGUGAAUGCCAUUCCUAACUUCAAUAAAAUCUAGUGUGCUUUUUAAAUGGUAAAUUAUGGAAUGUUUCAAUUAUUGGUACCACAAAUAGAAACGGCCAGUUAUAAGUGGGCAAAGCCUGACCUUACCAUUCUCAUUCUUAUGUUUCCUUAAACUAUCACUCAUCCAAAAUCUGCCACACUCUGAAGAAGCAACAAACAGGAAGAGAAGCAGUGAUGCAUAGCUAUAAUUCCACCCUGCUUCCAGCCAACUUCAAAUGUUCUGCAGGGAAACAAGGGCUCCAUGCACGGGCUUCACUUAGAAGCAAAGCCCCUGUACCUAUAUGUGACUCCUCCCCUCCCCCCACCUCAGGUUUCUGAACCUUUUGAAGGAACCACCACUUGUUCCUUCCAAACAAUAGGGUUUGUAAAGUCAAAGGUUGCAAAAUAAAAUGUACCGGAAAGAGAACGCCUGGAAAAGCAUACUGCUUUUAUCUCUUUCUUUCCUAUUCUUGGAGAAAUUCUUUCCUGCGAUGAAGAAGUCAAACCGUGUUUAACACAGCACAUAGAUCAACUUAAGAAAGAUUUCAAAUUCCCCAUUGAAUCUUUCGCAUGGAAAGCUUUUGUCCUGUUUAUUGUUUUACAGGUCUUGGUUUUUAAGAUGCUCUCCAUCCAUCUACUCUUUCCUAACCUUCAUUCAAUUUGAAUAAGCAAAACUCAAAGUACUGUAACUGAUAUUAGAAAAUUCUCCCUAUGUUUUGUGGAGACGUAUUGUGCUGAAAUCAAUAAGACUGUUUAAAAUUCAAAGACCUGCAAAUCGUUCUGUUUGUCCUUUGAUAGGGCCUAUGCUGAUUAAAAUGCUACCAAGAAAGCUUAAUUGCUGCACUAAUUAAGAAGUCUUUAAUUUCUUUCUUAGGAUAUCGUUUGAAGCUUAGCUUGUACAGUUCAGGGAAGGUAUUUUCUUCCCUCCUUCUGCCCUCUUCUGGCCCCUCCCCUCCCCUCCCCCUCCUCUCCCCAUUUGAGGAGCCCGAUUAGAAUGGGAACUCAUAAAAAGAAUGGUCUCAUCAUUUAUUACUUAACAAAAAUCGGCACAGGAUACAGACUUCAGCUCAGUAUAAAAUGCAGUUUGGAGAAGAGCUGCAAGCUUUGCAGGAGACAGUGAGAAAAUACAAAGUAGCUGUUGCAGCUAAAGACCUGGUGAUUACCUGAAUGGUAGCAGGCACUUUAGUGGGCGAUGAGAGCAUCCUAUUUGGUUAAAAGGCUCAGUGGCAAAUGGGGACACAUAAAAACAUGCUUCCACAACCUGUGGUUUCAAAGGGGAAGAAUAAAUGUGUAAAAAGAUGGAUUUGUAGUUGGGAUUUGACUCCAAAACUGCAUCAUUCCCAGAGUGGGUAGUCAACUCCUCAUGAUGAAUUAAAUAUAUGUUCCUAUAAAUACCCACUUUCAGGUAAGUCCAUUCCACUUGUGGGGUUGCAUGAAAAGGCUGCCCAGACAAAUAAUCCUUAAAACAGCAAGCCCAGUGAGAUCCUGGAACAGUUGAAUGGUAGGAGGGGGCAAUAGCAACAAUAAUAUAAGAUAUAAAAUUCAGAUUAAAUUCUUUCACCUUCGGAACCAGGCCAUCAUCCUGAAAAUAAUGGCAGGCUCGAUGACAGUGAGGGCAGACAGACAUAUUUAAUUCCCUGCUUUUCCACUUUAUAUUGGGCCUUUAAUUGCAACUUUGCCUAUUUGCUUUCUAAUUUUUGGCCUCUUUUCUCUUUACGUGAACAAGAUCUGUAUUAAGGCAUGUAAGUAACUUAAAAGAUAAGUAGUUAAGAAUAGUUUGGAAGGAAACUAUUUUAUUUGUUAUAGUACAAAUAUAUGCUAAAUAUUGAAACAUAAAGUACAAUGUAACUUUUUCAUAAUAGAAGAAAAUUACUUAACCACAUAAGUUUCUCUUGAUUAACUGACUUUUUUGUUGUUUUACUUCAUUAUCUUAGCUUUUUGUUUUCCUUUUUUGUUGUUUAUGAAAUCAAAGAAGGGGUCAUCAUCCAACAAAUUGCCCAUAAGAUUGAUUUACUUGAAGACAGAACUUUUCAUGUUUGCUAGAAAAGAAUAAACUGUUUGUUUAUUUGUUACUUUUUGGACAGAGAAAAAAUUUUUAAGUUGAAAAGAAAACAAUGGCUACCUCCUAGAAGCCUGAUAUUGUAUGUCAAGUUUCAGCCCAGAGCAAAUUUUUACAACAAGUUAUAAACCCCUGUAACAGAGGGUUUAUUAUAAUGGAAGUGCUGACACAACCUUAACUAUAGCGUUGUAAACGGCUAUGCUAUAAUAUCCAUUAAGCAGAAAGAAAAAUAAGCUGGCUGAUCAAUAAUUUAUACAAAGAGUACCAACUGCAGACAUAAUAACUGUAAUGUUUGCAAAGCAAUCUCUCCUCUCUCCAGGCUUAACAGUGAACACAAACUAGCAAUGCUGUUAAUUUCCAACUCCUACGGAUAAGAAUACACAACAAAUUACUUAAAAUUAUAUUUUGUUCAACAUUUAGCAUGCCUCAAUGGGAUAAAAUAAAAUUUAAUUAUGAUGUGACUUGUGCCGGAUGCAAGGCUGCUUUGUUUUCAUGAACAUUUUACUAAGAAAGGAUGCUCAUUUGGAACAUAAAUUACAGGGAAAUAGUGUGUUUCAAUGAGUUUGCUUGGGUCAGUGAGGUUCAUGUAAGAGUUAUUCAGACAGGGAAACAGAUUGACACAGCUCAACUUCAAAGAAAGUUAGAGUUUACAAAGUCACAAGAUGAAAUACAAUACUGCAUGACCUGAUCCAAGUGAACUGUCAGUAAAAACACACCUUGCCAUUAGAGUUCAUGGGAAAAAAGUCAUUGGUUUGGAAAUGUGGCCAUUAUUAAUAUCCAGUGAAUGUGGGAGUACUUUACUUUCAAUGGCAUACCUUGUUGUUGCAGGAACAUUGUGCGACAUUUCUAACAAACAGACCUGAACCACAAAAUGUGAGCACUGUUUUCACUUCUAUAAGAUUGUGUGUCAGUAUUGUCUCAGAUAUCAUUGUAUAUUUAAUACUUGCUUCCUAAGUUAUCUAAAUAUGGACAUGCUGUUGUGAUAACUUCAUUUUAUUGGUGGAUCUUAAGACAAAAAUACCUUAGGCAGGAAUUUCAGAAGUUAAGUGGGAGAAUCUAUAAUUCCAAAUUGUUCAAGACACAAGUUGGAACCUUGAUCCUGAAGCUCACACCCUCCUUCGUUUUUGUUUUGUUUUGUUUUGUUUUGUUUUGUUUUGUUUUGUUUUGUUUUGUUUUGUUUUGUUUGUUUGUUUUUCUCUCUGAUCGUCUCAUGAUGGUUGAGAUAAAGUGUACGGGAGGAUGUGGAGCCUCGUGGAAUGAAGAGACUUUGCUAUCAAAGCUGUAAAAUGCUGUAUUAUCCUGUGAGCAACUGCAUUUGGAAGGGAACCAGUAAUGUAUAUGAGACGUGUUUAAGAUUGCAUACUCACCCAGUGAUCCGUGCCUGGUCAGUUUCAGUAAUGCUAGGAAACAAAAUGUGGCACAGAUCACUGGGAAAGGGACACCUUCCUUGACUUAAGACCUUGUAAAGGGAAGCAUCAAAAUGCCAUUCUCUCAAAUGAUCUGAUCAUUACCAUUUAGACUCCCAAGGGCUCUAGGACUAGGGAGAGGGGAAAGAAUUUUUCUGUUGAUUUAACAGGGCUGGGGAAUACUGGUUUUAAGGGGGAGGAAUUUUGUAGUAGUGUGUCUCAGUCCUAUGCUUCAGCAAAUAUUAAAUCUGGAAGCAGAUGUUGUGCUUUGAAACAAUGACAUGGAAAGGGGUUGGGCACAACAGCUCUCUGAAGUCACUUGGUCAUUGUAAACUUAGAUAUUAAUUGCUUUUAAAAAAACAGAACCAAUAGUAAUGCAACUAAUAUCUUCGCCAGACUCUGAGAAUUAGAGUUUUCUCAGGUCAGCUUCUCACCCCUCCAGCUUGCAUCAGAAUAAAGUAGGAUCUUGUCAGAGGCUGGAAUGGAUAUAUCAGACCCCUUACUUCAAGGACAGAUCUGAGUGUACCAGAGGCCUCCUCUUUGUUAAACUCAUUUUAAGUUUAUACCUCUAGUUCAUCCUUGUGUCUAAAACUGAACACUUCUCAUCUAACUCAGACUCAUUAUUUCCUGAAUGGUUCAAAGUUUGUCAUAUCCCUGAAUCUUUGCUGACUUUUGGCAGUUGAUUUUCUCCUUACUAGAGGUCUGGAGACUCAGGUUGCCGGGUCUUCCAGUCAAGUACCUCUGCACAAGGGGCUAGCCAACUACCCCCAGUGUUGAUGCUUCAAAGCUAUGCAUCAUAAUGAUUCAUAAUUUAUAUUCUGGUAGAAAUAUGAUCAUCUUAUGUUUUCAAACUUACCAGUAUGUUUUUCUUCUGGUGGUCUUAGCCAAUUUUACUCAUUGCUAAUAUCUAGUAUGAUGCUAUAAGCUUGCAUAUUGCUCAAUAAAUGUUACCUGGGUAAUUUGAACAGCUUUUCCUAUGUGAGGUAACCCAUUAUUUUCACCACCAAAUUAUGCAAAUGGUUCAUUCUUCAUAUAAUGCAUGGUUUCAUUCAGACCACAUAUGCCAGAAAUAAAUGCUUAGAUAUGUGUACCCUAUUCUCUUGCAACCUAAUUUGGGAAAACAUUUUUCGAAUAAAAUCUGGAGAUACGACCAAGUUAGAUCUCUAAGAUAUGAGAAAUAGAUUCCUAGGCCAGUGAGAAGAGCUUUCUGGCAUCCGUGCACAAAGAGUUAUCUUUUCCUAGUCAUCAGAAAAGAUGCUAAGGAGUCUUCAGCAAGACAGAAAAUAAGAGUACACACUGGAUUGUUCCCUGAGACAGUGAGUACAGGUUGGUUUGUGGAUGCUGCAUUCCCUUCCAAAGACGAGCGACCAAAGGGUGUGUGCAAAGGUCUGUAAACUUUUUAAACUUACACUCAUUGUACUGUGCACAGCAAACUUGCACAAGGCAUGCCCAGCUUUGCAUGCUGUCUGUCGGUUGCAGAGGGUGCUGUGAAUAAAAUCAGUUCACCCUGUUCCUUCCUUCUCAUGCAGUGUCAUGUUGUGCUAUUUCUAUAGCAGGAUAGAGGUUUUGCAUGAGAAUGUCAUAGAACAUUGUCCAAUCAGAGGACUGCAAAUACUGUGCUGCCAUUCCAACAGUGACUAUGCCACACACCACAAAAGGUCUAUGGAUCCUUACCUUCACCUUCAGGGGCAAUCUGGGAAGUAUUCUAAAUAGGGCUCUCUGUAGGCAACCUCCCCCUGUGUGCAGCUGAACCAUCUUCACACAGGCCCCCUAACCUUUUGAAGGAAGAAAUUUUCAAAUAGUGUUUUAGGGCCACUUACUGUCCCCUGUAGCUGAGUUGUAGGCCAAGGAUGGGUUUUUUAAGGAAAUAGUCACUGAUCAUGACCUCCUACCCAGCCAUCUUUCAAAGAGACCCUUUUUUGAGGAAGUAAGAGUAGAACGGUUUUCAUUUUUCAUUUUUCAGUUCAAGACAAUGGAAAACUAAAAGACUACACAUAUUUUGCGGAUAUAUGUUACUACUUGUCUAUGCGUUUCAAACCUUCAUGGGUCCCCAGAGUCUGCUUAGAGGUAAACACUCAUGAGAAACAAGCCAGCAUCAUGCGGGUAAAUGUUCAAUACUGGUCCCAAAGACACUUCUGAGAUCUUGAAAAACAUUUAAUAAAAGUGCAAUGGCAAAAUCUACAGUAUUUCUUGAAAACUCUCUGACUUCCCUGGUUAGAGUAUAACAGCAUCCCGACUUCCUACCCCCAUAAAAGUUACCUGAGGCACUAGGCCUUAAAGGGACAGGGCAUGGUUUACACACUUAGCUUUUCUGUAGUCUUUCCCUGGCCCUAAUCUGCUUUUGUCUGGGGAGUUAUCUCGACUUCUUCUCCAAUGUUUUAUCCUGAUUUAAAGGAAGAUCUCUUACUACUUUUCCAGUAGAUGAUUUAGGGAUCACUGGCAGCUAUUCCUGACAGAGCAAUAACAAGGCCUCCUGCCACCCCAUUUAAAUUAUCUGACCUGCUUGACUUUUUCAUUUUCUCUCCCUUUAGAGGGAAGUGAGGGGGACUUGAAUGGCCUGUGUCUUCAAAGUCUUGAGCUGUGGAAUGCAUCAAAGUGCCAGAAGCCACAGAACACCAGGGGAUGUCAACAAGGUGUCAGGGACUCCUGGGGAGGUGGACUGGGACCUAUCUACUUGUUAUCUCCUGGGAAGCAACCAGCUCAGAUGAGCAGAAAAUGGAUCUCCUUCUCCCAGGAGCUCAUUUAACUGAUUUUGAAAUAUGUCUGAUUCCAGCGUUAGGACAAACUUCAGCCUGUUGCUAACAGGGAGUUCUCUGUUGGGUUUUACUAGGGAACUGAUGGACAUGGAAGCUAAAGUCAGUACUAAAGAGGAAACCAACUUCCCAAGCAGUUGCUGGUAAGACAUGCUAGACAUUCCCUUAAUACAUUUUCAAAGGUAACUAAGAUGCACUCACACAUGCUGAAUUGUUAGUAUGGCAAGUAUAGAACAAACAUUUACCCAAAUAGUUCGAUAGGAGCAACAGGAAGUUUAAUUGGCUCUGAAAGCAAAAUGUUAACUAGAAAUAUAGAAUUAACAAUACGUAACUGAUGACCUUCACUGGAAAUACAAUAUGUAGUAUGUGUUCUAGCAAACAAAAAGGCAGAUUAUAUUUCAUUUGAAAAUAUAAAGAGAAAAACUAGAUCUUCUCUUUUUUAUAGUACCUUAAUAUCCAAGAAUGUCUAUCAUUAAUAUUUUGAUUUUAUUAUCCAAAAUGGUUUUCUUUUUUUAAAUUUUUUAUUAGGUAUUUUCCUCAUUUACAUUUCCAAUACUAUUCCAAAAGUCCCCCAUACCCACCCCCCACUCCCCCACCCACCCACUCCCCCUUUUUGGCCCUGGCGUUCCCCUAUACUGGGGCAUAUAAUGUUUGCAUUUCCAAUGGGCCUCUCUUUCCAGAGAUGGCCGACUAGGCCAUCUUUUGAUACAUAUGCAGCUAGAGUCAAGAGCUCAGGGGUACUGGUUAGUUUAUAAUGUUGUUGCACCUAUAGGGUUGCAGAUCCCUUUAGCUCCUUGGAUACUUUCUCUAGCUCCUCCAUUGGGGGCCCUGUGAUCCAUCCAAUAGCUGACUGUGAGCAUCCACUUAUGUGUUUGCUAGGCCCCUUUAAAACAAACAAACAAACAAACAAACAAAAAAGGUUCUUAGCACUUUCUGGAUCUCAUAAGAUGCUACCUAAACAGGAACAGUUGAGGCAAAUAUACCAAAAGUUGUUUGUACACAUUGGAUUUAUGUGUUAUGAUUAGCCAUAACAAAAUGAAACUACUCCCGAAUCAACAGCAAAUUAAUGUUCCAUUUGAGGCUCGCUUGAUAUAUGUGGUGUUUACUUUAUGCUGAUAAAUGUUAAGGAAAUGUUUUUCUUUUAUAUAGUCCCCCCGUUUUUACAGAAUGAUAAUGCCUUAUUUGAAUACUACGAUCUAAAAUAAGAUACUAGACUUUUACUUAAGGAUUCAGCUGUAUACAAACAGCCCCAAGAAGCUGCUUUCCCUAGGUGCACAGGCUCACAUGCUACUUUUCAGAUUGUUUUCUUUGUGACUCCCUUAGAAUUAGUUUAUACUGACUGUUUUUCUCCGUGUCUAAGAAAACGUAUUUAUUGUUCCUAUGGAAAUAACUGUCCAAAAGCACUCACUAACCAUAACAACACAGCAAAGACGGGUUAUGCCAACACUGUAUUUUUAUCAUUGGACUUUGUUUUCCAAUACAAUGCUUUAAAAAUAUCCUCAGCUGUAUAAAGGACAUUGUUGCAAAAAAAAAAAAAAGGCAGCUCAAAACUUGUCCUUCCCUUCUCUUUCAUUGAUCUGUUGCCUCUUAGGCAAUAUGAACAGCUGCCUCCAGCUCACCCACAAGCAAGCUGAAUAUAAUAAUAAAGUUGUGUUAGUAUCCUGUAUCUAUUGGACACAGGGUUACCAGCUCUUUUUCAUUAAAGAUAAGGUAACAAAGACACCAUAAAGAAAACUGGUUCAUGAAAACAAGCAAAUUUGCUGCUGCCUUACAGGUUCUGUCUCUGCUCACCACUGGGAUUCUCUUUCACUUGGGUUUGCAAUAAGGUGAAGGUGCCCUCUGUAGGAGAUUCCCAGGAAAUGCUGCUGUUUUUCAUUUAGGUGACAUCAGGCAAGUUUCCCCCUCCCUUUUAGUUUACAAAUAAAUAAAUAAUCACAGACUUCUUGCCAGAGCACGAAUUUAAAUCCUAUAAAUUGUAACAGGAAAUCAGUGCCGAGUCUACAAUCAGCUAUGUAAAUCUAGUGCCUUUUCAAAGUAAGCGACGUUGAACCCUGAGAAAGCUGUUCAGCACGUUUGUGUUUGCUGUUUACUGGUUCUAAUUAUGGAGUGUUAUAAGGUGGGUUUUGUAAAUUAAGAGGUGUUGUGAGAAACUGAAAGACAGCAGGUCUUGGCAUAGCAGAGUGAACGCUGUAUCCACACAGAAGAGCACCCACACACCAAGAGAUGUAUACCGUCUAAUAGACGAAGUUCCUCCAAAGGUGUUCUCUUUCCUUCUUUCAAAGGUUACCAUAAUGCAGAUUCAUUAUCAGUCCCACGGGGUAGUAUAUAGCUUGGUAAGAAAUUGCUUUUGUUAGCAUGCUCAUGGAAAGAGAUUAGCUAUUUCAUCAGAUCUCUUGGGGCUAUUUGAAAUUUUGGGGAUUCUCUCUGUAAUUUAAAAUGGAAGUUAAAGCCAAUGUGAAUAGACUAGGGGAAAAUCUCACAAAUUAAACCUCUCCAUCUGGAAGUUUCUUCGUCAUUCACUGGAAAUAUACAAAGCUCAAAUCCAAGCAGGAAAGAUCUCAUCAGAUUCGAUUUGAGAAAACUGCUUAUAUAUUCACGUUUUAAUGAUUAGGCUUUUUUUUUUUCAGAGAAACACUUAAAAUAUUGUAGAAUGCUUAGUGGUGUUUCAGAUUUGAUUAGGUCUGUAUUGAUUGUACAUGUUAUGUUUACCCUGGAUGGAUUUGUGUCCAUUUUUAAGACUAUGCCUUAAGCCUCUGCGGAAUGUAUAUAUGAUAGUCUAGUCUUGUUUGUACUGGAAGGUAGGGGAUAUUCAAGAAGGCAUAGAGGUAAAAGAGAUGAGAACACUUGUUAGUUUCUAAUAUAUAAUUGAAUUUUUCCUAAACUAUGAGCUCAAAUAUCUACAAAUCCCCAUCUGCAUCGUAUUCCGCACCAGGUUCACAUCUCAGUUUUAUCUACAGAGCAUUAACUAUAUAUGUCAGGCAGUAUGGAAAACCUUUCUAUGAAUUAUUUCAUUUAAUCAUCAUAUUAUAUAAUAAAGGUAAUUAUCCUUUUUUCCUUUUACAGUUGUGUGUGUGUUUGUUUCUGUGUGUAUAUGUUUGUGAUGUUCUUGGGUGUGAAUGCACCUGUGUGUGAGUGUGGGUUUGUGUGUACAAAUUGAAUUAAACUUGAUUUAGGGAGUCAAUAGCUGCUUUGUUCUCUGAGGUAGGUUUUCUCAGCUGGUUCCAGAGCACUGUUGUGGCUAGUCUGGCCAGUCAACUUUCUCUGGAGAUACACCAUACCUGACUUCUGAUCACUGGGAUUACAAGCAGGGCACAUUGUCCAUCAAGCAUUUAUUGGGUUCAGGGAAUUCAAAUUUCAGUCCCAACAUGUACUAUGUGUAUAAAUGCUGAGCUAUCGUUCCAAACCCCCAGUAUCCUCUCUCUCUCUCUCUCUCUCUCUCUCUCUCUCUCUCUCUCUCUCUCUCUCUCUCUCUCUCUCUCUCUCUCUCUCUCUCUCAUGCACACACACACACACAGAGAGAGAGAGAAAGGGGAAAGUGGAACUUGAGAAGUGAAAACCUUUGCCCUUCUAUUCUAGGGUUGCAUCAACUGUGAAAGGGUCCCAUCUUAUUUCCCUUAUUUUUUCACAUAUCUGUCACUCACAUGUAAAGUAGUUGUGACCCUGCCUUGCUACCAGAGCAGCCUGCCGGAUCCCCAGCCAGUACUAAGUCAGCAAUCUGCUAUCUUACUGGAUGGCUGAGUAUUGCUAAAGACUCUCCCACAGUGAUGCCGAUUGGCAUCCUUAAUUACUCAUGACUCCUACUUGCAAGCUUUAAAAUUUAAGCUAGUUUAUCCAGAAAGGGGCCUGAAUAAGCUCACAUCAUCACUUUAAUGGAAGGUUAGGGCUCCAGCUAGUCUCAGGGUGACUGAGACCAGAAACUUAGACACCCCAUCAAACCACCUCUGAUCUCAGAAGACACACUUGUCGGGGUGUCUUCAGUUUCUCUGUCUGGAUUCCACACAGAAAGAUUAACGAUUCUAUCAGAAGUCAAGCUCAGUUCUUUUAACUCCAGAAACUGAAAUACACCAAGUUUUGCCUCCUUGAUACUCCAGUUGGGAAUCCAGGAAGGACACGUUUGUACAUUUAUAGAUGAAGAAACUGAACAAGAGAAAUAUCAAGUGCUAAGACUGUGUUGGAUGACAUGUGAGAUACAUGACAUUCAAAACCUAGUGUGCAUAUGAUUCAGGGUUACCUUUAUCUACCUCAGUUUAUUUACUAUGAAAAAGAGACAAUGGGUGUAUCUUCUCUGGUGCAUUCUCAUGAUGACUAAAUGAACUAUUAUGUGUAAUUUAAACAAACAGUUCCCUUCUAAUGUUGAUGAUAAUUACAUUGGGGCCUUAGGAUUGGUUGAGCUUGACCUAGAAUCUCAAUGCUACAAAUUCAAGGUGAACCAGGCAGAGUAAUUUGAAGCAAAGAUUUGAGGGAUAGUUGUAACAUCUAGGAUUCUGAUAUUUUUAGAAGGAAAAUGCUUUUUAAAAUGGAAGGAUGAAUUAUGCUAGAAAGACAGUCACCAGAUAUUUAUUACACAGAAAUGGAAAAAAAGUCAGAAAACAAUCCAAGAAUAGAGUGAUGUGAGAAAACUAUACAAGAGUCUUGAAACAUCAAUUUCUUCAAAGCAGGGUGUUGUUCUUGGAACAGACUUUUGUGCUCCUCCUAGGAGUAUAGGAGUGUGUUUACUUCAGCUGUUGUUAUUCAUAAGUCUCUAUAGAAAAUCAUUUAUUUGUCAUGUGCUGCUUGGUCUUGGAAUUGUACAUUUUACUCAAGUGACUUUCUUAAACCUCAGAAUGUAAAUUGUUCGAUGCUCUGAAUAAAGUUGAUUAUUGCAUAAGACUUUAGUCUACUUCAUUUUUAGGCUCAGUACUCCUAGGUACACAAAAUCAACUGGAACAGUAAACAAAAAGUAUAUGACUUCAAUGCCAAUUGAGGGUCAUUGAACAAUAUUUUCAUGCCACUAGUGAGGUUCAUCUUUUCUUCUCUCACUGACAUUUCUAUUGUGUUUCAUAAUUUUUUCAUAAUCAUGUAUUCUUGUGCAUGUUUGUAAACACAUUUAUGCAUCUGAGUCUUUAUGCACAUUCAUGUUAAUGUGGGUGGAGGCUUGAAGUUGAGGCCAGGAAUCUUUUAUCAUUCAUUCUGGCAGGUUCUUUCAGUUCAGUCCAGAGCUUUCCAAUGCACUGUGGUGAUCUGAAUAGGCUUGGCCCAGGGAGUGGCACUAUUAGAAGGUAUGGCCUUGUUGGUGGUAGUGGGUUCUUGGCAUGUGAUUUAAGACUCUCUUCCUAGUUGCUGGGAAGCCAGUAUUCUGCUAGCAGCCUCCAGAUGCCAUUAUAGAACUCUUAGCUCCUCCUGCACCAUGCCUACCUGGAUGCUGCCAUGCUCUCACCUUGAUGAAAAUAGACUGAAUCUCUGAAUCUGUAAGCCAGUCCCAACUAAAUGUUGUCUUUUUAAGAGUUGCCUUGGUCAUGAUGCCUAUUCACAGCACUAAAACCCUAAUGAAGACAAUACCUACCUGAGCUAUCUGAUUUUUGUGUUUUGUGUUUUUGUUUUUUGGGGGGAAAUUUAAAACUCAGAAUUUAAAACAAUUAAAAUUACUAUUUCAUUUAGUUCAUUUUUUUGUUUUGUCUUUUGUGUUACUGAAGAUUGAAUCAAGGACCUUGUGUAUAUUAAGCAAACACUUGACCACUAUGUUUUUCUGGGAAGCCUAGGAUGGAUUCUUUAGCCUGAUUAAAUGCUUGUAGAUUCUAUAUUGUUAAAGGUUUUGUGAUUACAUGCUGGUUAGACUAUUUAGAUCAUAACUGGGUUGAGCUUUCACCGGGCCAUUGUGCUGGCUGUAAAUAAUUUUGAUUACAAAAAUAGUGGCCAUAAGCAAAAUGCUCUUUAGUUGCAAUGAACUCAGUUGGUCUCUCCAAAUUCACAUGUUAAAAUUCAGACCUCCAGGGUGACUGUAUUUAGAGUAAGGGUUCUUAGUACACAGUUAAGGUCAAAACAAAAUAGGAAGGAUGAUGUCUUAAGGUUUCUCCUGCUCUCCCUUCAUCCCCUUGUCUUCUCUCCACUUACCUUCUUACCUCUUCAUAGCUCUCAUACAUUUUCCUCUCUUACUCUUCUUUCUUUUAUCUGCAUUUCUGUGUAUAUACCAAGGAAAGACAUCAGAAGAACAAAGAGAAAAGCCCCUCUAUAGGCAGCAUAACUAUGGGUUUUUCCACUCAUGCCCCCAUUCCCGAAUAAUCAUUUGGAGGCUUAUUAUUUAUUAAAAAGUGCCGAGAUCAUAAGCUAGGCUUGUUCCCACUAGCUUGUAAGUUACUGUAACCUGUUUACACUAUUCUAUGUCUGCCACGUGGCUAGUUGCUUCUCCUCAGUUUCAUACAUCCAACUUCCUCCAGGUCUGAUUAUUUCCCAGAUUCCUUCCUCCCUGCUCGAUGUCCCACCUUCUGAUCCUGCCUCAGCUUAUUGGCCAUCAGAUUUUAUUGACCAGUGAUGUUUCAACACAGUACACAAGAGAGUAUCCCUAUCUUGACAAUGCAGAAUGGGCAGUCUUUCCAGAAGCCCAGUUAUCAAGAUACCUUGCUCUUAACUUUCAGGGUGUUAAAAGAGUGAGAAACAGCUCUGUGUGGCUUAGCUGAUCAGGUCUACAAUACCUUCCUACAGCAUCCUGACUGUAAUGCACUAUAGGAAUAUACCUAGGAUUAUCCCUAUAGUGAUAAGAGGGUCUGCACAUUCAUUUUAUGACAUCAGAACAAAUUACUUUUAAAAUUAUUAUAUGAACUUACAUUGCAAUAUUUGCUCUAUAUCCUUUCUAACAUCUGAUAUGAUAACAUUUUAAAGUAUUUUUUAAUUAAGUAGUUACAGGCUAGAACCCAGGCACUGUUUCAAUUUAUAUUUUAUGACUAAGUCUGAGAGCAUUUCUAUCUGUUUUACCCAUUUUAAUACUUUGCCUAUGAAAUAAAUUUAUUACUUGUGUUUUUCAUUUUGUUGCACGAACUUAAGUAGCAACUCAGAAUGUGUUGUAUUGUCCAGACUGGGCUCAGAUUCACCAUCCUCCUGCCUUAGCUUUCUAGCUGCUAAGAUUAAAGGCAUACACCCAUGCAGUGGAGGGAACACACUCCCGACACUUCUAAUGAUAUUCUAUCGUACUUGUAGAUAGGAGUCUAGCAUAAUCAUCAUCACAGAGGUUUCACACAACAACCUACAGAAACAGAUGCAGAGACCCACAGCCAAACAUGAGGCAGAGCUUUGGGAUCCUGUGAGAGAGGGAGAAGAAAGAUAGGAGCCAGAGGGACAAGAACAAAACACAAUUCUCUACAGAAUGAAGAGAACUUGUCCCAUAGAGGCUCACAGAGACUGAAUUACCAACCAGGAAGCAGGACCAACAUAUGGCCUCUAUGCGUAUGUUACAUUUGUGUAGUGUAGUCUUUAAGUGAGACUCCUCACCUUGUUAGUUUUGUGAUACAAAGCUUUCAGAAUUUUGCUAACUUUUGGCUACAUGACUUAUCAUUAUUGAGAAGACUGUGUUUAAAUCUCCUGGUAUGAAGAUUACUUUUGCUUCUUAUACUUCUGUCAGCUCUUGCUUUAAAUAAUUCAAGGUUAUAUUUUAGACAACACAGAAUUAGAAUUCUUAUGUCUUUCUGGUGAAUUGAAGUGUUUAUCAUCUUUUAGUGACUAUCAUUUUUUGUUAAGACUAAGUAUUAACAUAUUAAGUUUAUUUUGUCUCAUCUAGUUUUAGAAAUAUACUUGACAUCCUAUGUUUUAUUGUGUAUCUAUUGUAGGCCUUGCCCUUUAUUUCUUUUAUUUUAUUAGUGCUUCAGAAUUUGGAGGUGCCCCCUUUGAAGAGCAUGAGGUAAUAUUUACUUGAAAUCCAGUUGGAUAUUUUCAUGGUUUAGACAGGUUAUUUAGUUCAAUUGUGUGUUUUUGCAUUUCUAUAUAGUAUAUUUCUAUACUAUUGUGGUUGAAUCUCUAUAAUUCAUAUUUUGCUUUCUUUAUAGUUUAUAUUUCUUCCCUUUGCCUGUUCUCCAUUCAAAUUUUGAGGCCCCCACCUCAACAUUGCAGUGAUUACCAAAAGGCAUCUACUGUUUCAUUAUGCCUUCCAUAUUCCCAAGCUUCUCACCUGGAGGGCCUAGACUUAACUUCUGCAGUUAUUUAUUACUCUUUUCAUAUAAAUCAUUAUAAUACAUUCCAUAAUCAUUAAAAUUGGCUCACAAUUUCCCACAUUGAUCCUAUUCUCCUUAGUACCUGUUAUUUUGAUGCUUAUAUCAUUUAUUUUGAAUUUCUUAAACUUUUGGGAAAAGGUUGAGUUUCACAUUAUGUUUUCUAAACCUCAGCUCUGAGUUUUGCAAUAUCUUCAAGGAGACCUGCUAAUAUGAGAUAUUGUAUACAGCCAGCAAGAUGUAGACAUAAAAUGUAAUCACUAUUCUAUAUGUUUUGUGAUUUUUGUUGCUAUAAGCAAACCAUAAGAAAAUAUGCAUGUGUGCAUGUAAUAAAUACAUUUGUAUAUAACACAUAUUUAUAUCAGUCUAGUAAUCUAUUUUUUUCUAACAACAUCUACCCACUCUUUAUCCAUCGUUUUAUUAAACAAGUGUGAAUAUAUUUCUACUCCCAAUAAAGGAAUAUUUACAGUA